UCCCUGGUGGUCCAGUUGGGUAAGACUCUGCACUCCCAAUGCAGGGGGCCCAGGUUUGAUUCCUGGUCAGGGAA